GACGAACGCUGGCGGCGUGCUUAACACAUGCAAGUCGAACGGAAAGGCCCUGCUUUUGUGGGGUGCUCGAGUGGCGAACGGGUGAGUAACACGUGAGUAACCUGCCCUUGACUUUGGGAUAACUUCAGGAAACUGGGGCUAAUACCGGAUAGGAGCUCCUGCUGCAUGGUGGGGGUUGGAAAGUUUCGGCGGUUGGGGAUGGACUCGCGGCUUAUCAGCUUGUUGGUGGGGUAGUGGCUUACCAAGGCUUUGACGGGUAGCCGGCCUGAGAGGGUGACCGGCCACAUUGGGACUGAGAUACGGCCCAGACUCCUACGGGAGGCAGCAGUGGGGAAUAUUGCACAAUGGGCGGAAGCCUGAUGCAGCAACGCCGCGUGCGGGAUGACGGCCUUCGGGUUGUAAACCGCUUUCGCCUGUGACGAAGCGUGAGUGACGGUAAUGGGUAAAGAAGCACCGGCUAACUACGUGCCAGCAGCCGCGGUGAUACGUAGGGUGCGAGCGUUGUCCGGAUUUAUUGGGCGUAAAGGGCUCGUAGGUGGUUGAUCGCGUCGGAAGUGUAAUCUUGGGGCUUAACCCUGAGCGUGCUUUCGAUACGGGUUGACUUGAGGAAGGUAGGGGAGAAUGGAAUUCCUGGUGGAGCGGUGGAAUGCGCAGAUAUCAGGAGGAACACCAGUGGCGAAGGCGGUUCUCUGGGCCUUUCCUGACGCUGAGGAGCGAAAGCGUGGGGAGCGAACAGGCUUAGAUACUCUGGUAGUCCACGCUGUAAACGGUGGGUACUAGGUGUGGGGUCCAUUCCACGGGUUCCGUGCCGUAGCUAACGCUUUAAGUACCCCGCCUGGGGAGUACGGCCGCAAGGCUAAAACUCAAAGGAAUUGACGGGGCCCCGCACAAGCGGCGGAGCAUGCGGAUUAAUUCGAUGCAACGCGUAGAACCUUACCUGGGUUUGACAUGGAUCGGGAGUGCUCAGAGAUGGGUGUGCCUCUUUUGGGGUCGGUUCACAGGUGGUGCAUGCCUGUCGUCAGCUCGUGUCGUGAGAUGUUGGGUUAAGUCCCGCAACGAGCGCAACCCUUGUUCACUGUUGCCAGCACGUUAUGGUGGGGACUCAGUGGAGACCGCCGGGGUCAACUCGGAGGAAGGUGGGGAUGACGUCAAGUCCUCAUGCCCCUUAUGUCCAGGGCUUCACGCAUGCUACAAUGGCUGGUACAGAGAGUGGCGAGCCUGUGAGGGUGAGCGAAUCUCGGAAAGCCGGUCUCAGUUCGGAUUGGGGUCUGCAACUCGACCUCAUGAAGUCGGAGUCGCUAGUAAUCGCAGAUCAGCAACGCUGCGGUGAAUACGUUCCCGGG
rnacentral:rRNA from 1 species